rfam:Anaeromyxobacter sp. Fw109-5, complete genome.
GCCCAGGUGGCGGAACUGGUAGACGCACCAGAUUCAGGGUCUGGCGGCCUCAAAACCGUGGAGGUUCGAAUCCUCUCCUGGGCA